CUCGGAGGCGGCCCUGGCCGGGGACCAAGAAAAUCCCCACCGGCGAAUGUUUGUAGGGGACUGAGAAAAUCUCCACCAGCAGCAGGUUCUGGGUAAGGACUGCUGGGUCUGUGGUUGUCUGUAUCUUGUCUUUUUGUUGUCUGUUAUGUUGUUUGUAGUGUUUGAAAAAACAUGGGACAAGCAGAGAGUAAGGGGACUCUGACUUUCAUCUCUCCGUUCCUCCUAAUAGAUGUGGGACUUCUCCCUUGCUCAUUUCUUAUGUUAAUGGCUAUACCUGGAGCCAACUGUGAUUGGUCUAACUCGAGACAGAGACUUUAAAGAAUAUUCCCAAGCAGCUCCCAAAACUCCCUUUGUUUAGGGGAAGUUCCUAGCUUCUCUGGCCCGACCUAGCCCCUCCCCCUUGCUGGCGGGACCUUCUGGCAGCAGUUUGUUUGUUCUGUCUCCUCCUUCUGUUUCUGCACCAGCUUGGGUGCAGCCUGCAUAACUGGCUUCUAGACCAUCCUUGGUGCUUCCUGCACCAUGGCUCCUUCUCUCUUCACUGUCAAGAAACAAAAAGAACACCCCCUGGACCCAACACCCACCCCCUCCAGAUCUUCCCACCCGUGUCUCAGUUAAAUUCUGCCUUAAAGAAAAUUCAUAUGGGAGAC